AGCACAAAGGACCACAAUUCCCAGAAUGCAACGCGCAGUGUUUCUGCUGCAGUCCCUCCUGGUGGCUCGGAAGGUUGAACCUGCCUACCGUUUGUGUCCAGUGAUUUGAAUUAGCCAGCCGACCCAUCACGCAGGCGCAGCGAUCGUUGACUGGGCAGCGAACGAAGCAAUUCCGGGCUUGGGCACCGGUCACAUGGCAUAUAAUAAAUACCGGAAACAGUACUGUACUCAGAGGCUAAGGGAACUUCAGAAACUUCCAGUACUGUCCCUGAGCGAUCUUUAAUACCUCGUCCUCGUUAGUAUAGUGAAGAUAUUCAGGGCUGAGGAGACGACCUGAAUUCAGUUUCCAGAACCUUCAUUGGACGACUUGCAACAGCCUCUAACUCUAGUUCCAGAGGAAUCCAAUAUUGUGUUUUGAACAUUGUGGGCAACUGCGCUGAUGUCAUAACUCCU